GAUGAACGCUGGCGGCGUGCCUAAUACAUGCAAGUCGAGCGAACGGACGAGAAGCUUGCUUCUCUGAUGUUAGCGGCGGACGGGUGAGUAACACGUGGAUAACCUACCUAUAAGACUGGGAUAACUUCGGGAAACCGUAGCUAAUACCGGAUAAUAUUUUGAACCGCAUGGUUCAAAAGUGAAAGACGGUCUUGCUGUCACUUAUAGAUGGAUCCGCGCUGCAUUAGCUAGUUGGUAAGGUAACGGCUUACCAAGGCAACGAUGCAUAGCCGACCUGAGAGGGUGAUCAGCCACGCUGGAACUGGGACACGGUCCAGACGCCUACGGGAGGCAGCAGUAGGGGAAUCUUCCGCAAUGGGCGAAAGCCUGACGGAGCAACGCCGCGUGAGUGAUGAAGGUCUUCGGAUCGUAAAACUCUGUUAUUAGGGAAGAACAUAUGUGUAAGUAACUGUGCACAUCUUGACGGUACCUAAUCAGAAAGCCACGGCUAACUACGUG
rnacentral:rRNA from 1 species